rnacentral:rRNA from 1 species
UAGGAUAGGUGGGAGACUUUGAACUCUGAGCGCCAGCUCAGGGGGAGUCGUCGUUGAAAUACCACUCUGGUCGUGCUGGAUGUCUAACCUGGGUCCGUGAUCCGGAUCAGGGACAGUGUCUGAUGGGUAGUUUAACUGGGGCGGUUGCCUCCUAAAGAGUAACGGAGGCGCCCAAAGGUUCCCUCAGCCUGGUUGGUAAUCAGGUGUUGAGUGUAAGUGCACAAGGGAGCUUGACUGUGAGACCGACGGGUCGAGCAGGGACGAAAGUCGGGACUAGUGAUCCGGCGGUGGCUUGUGGAAGCGCCGUCGCUCAACGGAUAAAAGGUACCCCGGGGAUAACAGGCUGAUCUUCCCCAAGAGUCCAUAUCGACGGGAUGGUUUGGCACCUCGAUGUCGGCUCGUCGCAUCCUGGGGCUGGAGUCGGUCCCAAGGGUUGGGCUGUUCGCCCAUUAAAGCGGUACGCGAGCUGGGUUUAGAACGUCGUGAGACAGUUCGGUCCCUAUCCGCUGCGCGCGCAGGAAUAUUGAGAAGGGCUGUCCCUAGUACGAGAGGACCGGGACGGACGAACCUCUGGUGUGCCAGUUGUCCUGCCAAGGGCAUGGCUGGUUGGCUACGUUCGGGAGGGAUAACCGCUGAAAGCAUCUAAGCGGGAAGCCUGCUUCGAGAUGAGUAUUCCCACCCCCUUGAGGGGUUAAGGCUCCCAGUAGACGACUGGGUUGAUAGGCCGGAUCUGGAAGGCGGGUAACCGCUGGAGGUGACCGGUACUAAUAGGCCGAGGGCUUGUCCUCAGUUG